ensembl:snoRNA Gm23315 predicted gene, 23315
AGCACUUAAAGGUGUUUUUGUUCAACUGGAGGACAAAGGCAGGGAAGGCAAGUACAAAACAAAUCCUUUCUUGCCACCCAGAACUCAUUAUUCAGUGUGAGUUUUGAUGUAUACAAGAAGGAAUAUG